rnacentral:rRNA from 1 species
UACAGAGGUCUCAAGCGUUGUUCGGAUUCAUUGGGCGUAAAGGGUGCGUAGGCGGCGCGGUAAGUCGGGUGUGAAAUCUCGGAGCUUAACUCCGAAACUGCAUUCGAUACUGCCGUGCUUGAGGACUGGAGAGGAGACUGGAAUUUACGGUGUAGCGGUGAAAUGCGUAGAUAUCGUAAAGAAGACCAGUGGCGAAGGCGGGUCUCUGGGCCGUAACUGACGCUGAGGAGCGAAAGCGUGGGGAGCGAACAGG